AUUAGAGUUUGACCUGGCUCAGGAUGAACGCUGGCGGUAUGCUUAACACAUGCAAGUCGAACGGGACUCUUCGGAGUUCAGUGGCGGACGGGUGAGUAACGCGUGAGAAUCUGCCUUCAGGUUGGGGACAACCACUGGAAACGGUGGCUAAUACCGAAUAAGCCGAAAGGUGAAAGAUUUAUUGCCUGAAGAUGAGCUCGCGUCUGAUUAGCUAGUUGGUGGGGUAAGAGCCUACCAAGGCGUCGAUCAGUAACUGGUCUGAGAGGAUGAUCAGUCACACUGGGACUGAGACACGGCCCAGACUCCUACGGGAGGCAGCAGUGGGGAAUUUUCCGCAAUGGGCGCAAGCCUGACGGAGCAAUACCGCGUGAGGGAGGAAGGCUCUUGGGUCGUAAACCUCUUUUCUCAGGGAAGAACACAAUGACGGUACCUGAGGAAUCAGCAUCGGCUAACUCCGUGCCAGCAGCCGCGGUAAUACGGAGGAUGCAAGCGUUAUCCGGAAUGAUUGGGCGUAAAGCGUCCUCCGGUGGCAAUUCAAGUCUGCUGUCAAAGCCCGGGGCUUAACCCUGGAAAGGCAGUGGAAACUGAAUGGCUAGAGUUGGGUAGGGGCAGAGGGAAUUCCUGGUGUAGCGGUGAAAUGCGUAGAGAUCAGGAAGAACACCGGUGGCGAAAGCGCUCUGCUAGGCCACAACUGACACUCAUGGACGAAAGCUAGGGGAGCGAAUGGGAUUAGAUACCCCAGUAGUCCUAGCCGUAAACGAUGGAUACUAGGCGUUGCUCGUAUCGACCCGAGCAGUGUCGUAGCUAACGCGUUAAGUAUCCCGCCCGGGGAGUACGCCGGCAACGGUGAAACUCAAAGGAAUUGACGGGGGCCCGCACAAGCGGUGGAGUAUGUGGUUUAAUUCGAUGCAACGCGAAGAACCUUACCAGGGCUUGACAUGUCGCGAAUCCUGCCGAAAGGUGGGAGUGCCUUCGGGAGCGCGAACACAGGUGGUGCAUGGCUGUCGUCAGCUCGUGUCGUGAGAUGUUGGGUUAAGUCCCGCAACGAGCGCAACCCUCGUUUUUAGUUGCCAGCAUUAAGUUGGGCACUCUAGAGAGACUGCCGGUGAUAAACCGGAGGAAGGUGGGGAUGACGUCAAGUCAGCAUGCCCCUUACGUCCUGGGCUACACACGUACUACAAUGCUACGGACAAAGGGCAGCAAGCAUGCGAAUGCAAGCAAAUCCCAUAAACCGUGGCUCAGUUCAGAUCGCAGGCUGCAACUCGCCUGCGUGAAGGCGGAAUCGCUAGUAAUCGCAGGUCAGCACACUGCGGUGAAUAUGUUCCCGGGCCUUGUACACACCGCCCGUCACACCAUGGAAGCUGGUCACGCCCGAAGUCCGUACACUACGCGCAAGGAGGGGGACGCCGAAGGCAGGGCUGGUGACUGGGGUGAAGUCGUAACAAGGUAACCAAU
rnacentral:rRNA from 1 species